CCUACAGCAUGGUCAUGCCCAUCUACUCACAGCAAGCGCUGGACGGGUACGACGCCCAGUUCCCCACAAGUGUGGGUCCAGACUUUGCCCGCUUCUGAGCUUCCAGGACCUGCCCAAGGGCAGUGCAGCGAACCAUUCUGCCCCCUCCUGCAUCAGAGCCUCACCCUGCUCCUCCAGCUCAUGGGGUAUACCCACCCUGUGGACCAGCCAUGCCCAGACAUCUCUCCUAUACACUUACCUGUUCCUCUCCCUGCACCUCCAUCUCUCUGCCCUCCUCCUCCCUGAGUCUCUUUUGCCCCAAGCCUCCUCCCUGUACCUCCUUUCCCAUGCUCCCCCUUUUCCCUACAACUCCUUGUGCCUCAUUUCCCUCCCCCUUCUUCCUGUGCCUCCUUCUCUCUGAACUGCACCUCUGCCCCCCUCCUUUUCCCUGUCCCUCCUUAUUUCUGAACUGCACCUCUAUGCACCUCCUUUUCCCUGUCCCUCCUUCUCUCUGAACUGCACCUCUGUGCACCUCCUUUUCCCUGUGCCUCCUUCUCUCUGAACUGCACCUCUGUGCCCCUCCUUUUCCCUGCGCCUCCUUCUCUCUGAACUGCACCUCUGUGCACCUCCUUUUCCCUGUCCCUCCUUCUCUCUGAACUGCACCUCUGUGCCCCUCCUUUUCCCUGCGCCUCCUUCUCCCUGCUUCCCUUUGUUCUGUGUGGUCACUGAUAGGAUCAGCACAUGCUGAUAUGUGAAUAUAACGUUUGCAGUAAAUGCUGUACUUUAAUGUAGCUAAACAUUCAGCCCUAGUUUAUAGUGAAUGAGACCAUAGCCUUGCUGAGAGCAGACUAGCAGCAGUUUCUACCAGUGGGUGGGACUGCCUGACAUUAAGGCAAUACUUUAAAAAAAACAUUAAUGAUGUAAUUUCCUGUGGCAGUAACUCCAUCUCAGUGCAACUAUGAUGUGCUCAGUUAUGGGAUUGGCAUAUACUGCCCCUUUACCCCAAGCUGCAGAUCUAAUGCCCCUUUACCCCAAGCUGCAGAGCUACUGCCCCUUUACCCCAAGCUGCAGAGCUAAUGCCCCUUUACCCCAAGCUG